GGACACAUCACAUUGUAACACCGGUUCCCGUACGAUCUCUGAAGUUAAGCAACGCCGAGCCUGGUCAGGACCUAGAUGGGUAACCUUUUGGGAAUACCAGGUACUGUAAG
rnacentral:rRNA from 1 species